rnacentral:lncRNA from 1 species
AUGAACCGACCACCAAGGAACUCAGCAGACAGGAGGCAAUGCUGGAUGGCAUCAGCCAGCCAGCGAGAUUGUUUUGAGGGCUCUCGCCUUGUGGUGUUCCGGGGGACCAGGGGAGGUCGUUCCGGAGCGAGCGGGCGAGAGGAGGAGCCCCAGAGGUCCCCACCUACCCAGCUGCCGGUGAUCCCGGAGGGUCGUGUCCUGGCCGUGGCAACCCUGGGGGGUCAGGCAAGCCCCUCCCAGAGUCCUGAGGUGCCCUCCUCAGCCAGCAGUCUCCCCAUGAAACGAGGGAGACGGUUUUCAUGGGAGUCAACUUCUGAGUCUUCGGCGUCCGAGACUGCCCUGCCCGAGACCAAACUCCCCCAACCCGCCUCUGACCCAGCUGUGGCCUCUGCACCGCGCCCAAGGAGGAAGAGGAGGAAGAGGGGGCCUGCCGGUCCUGUGACCCUGUCUCCUCCCGUGCCAGCAGCGGAGAGCGCUGGCGUGCCCGUGCCAGCAGCGGAGAGCGCUGGCGUGCCCGUGCCAGCAGCGGAGAGCGCUGGCGUGCCCGUGCCAGCAGCGGAGAGCGCUGGCGUGCCCGUGCCAGCAGCGGAGAGCGCUGGCGUGCCCGUGCCAGCAGCGGAGAGCGCUGGCGUGCCCGUGCCAGCAGCGGAGAGCGCUGGCGUGCCCGUGCCAGCAGCGGAGAGCGCUGGCGUGCCCGUGCCAGCAGCGGAGAGCGCUGGCGUGCCCGUGCCAGCAGCGGUGGGCGUGCCCGUGCCAGCAGCGGUGGGCGUUCCCGUGCCAGCAGCGGUGAGCGUGCCCGAGCCAGCAGCGGAGAGAGCUGGCGUGCCCGUGCCAGCAGCGGUGAGAGCUGGCGUGCCCGUGCCAGCAGCGGUGAGCGUGUCCGAGCCAGCAGCGGUGAGCGCUGGCGUGCCCGAGCCGGCAAAGAAGAGGGCAGUAUGCAAGUCGGCAGUCGUGAGAGCGCAGGAGAGUGCCGCGGCCGGCUCUGCAGCAAAGACUUUAGUUCAGUGUGUCUCAUCUCGUAAGGAGAUGCCAAUUGUCUUAGCGGCUAAAUCCUUUUCAGAUUAUUUGUCUAGUCUUGUCCGUAUCCUAGAAGUCCCCGUCAGUCCUGUCUUGUCCUCAGACCCUGUCCCCAGAAAUCCCGAGUGUCCUGAUGUCGUCUCCCCGUGUCCCGUAGAUGUUGUCUCCCCGUGUCCCGUGAGUGUUGCCCCGUGUCCUGCUGAUGAAGUCAUGUAUCCUGUUGAUGUGGCCCCGUGUCCCGUAGAUGUCCCGUGUCCUGUUGUCCCCCCGUGUCCAGUAGAUAUUGUCCCGUGUCCAGUAGAUGUUGUCGUCCCGUGUCCAGUAGAUGUUGUCCCCCCGUGUCCAGCUGUCGUCUCCCCGCGUCCCGUAAGUCUUGCCCCGCGUCCCGUAAGUGUUGCCCCGCGUCCCUUGUCUGCUCCUGUCAUGUCCCCUGUCAGUUGUCCCGAGACCCCUCCCCGCCCCUCACCACCCAGACCUGCCCGUACCCCCCGUCGUCAGCCUUCGUCCUGUCCUCCUAAAACUCCUGCCCCACCCACUCACCCUGAUCUGUCCCCCAUGAACUUUGUGGUCCCGCCUCCUCCCCUUCCCUGUUUGUUUUUUUUGAUUUGUCACCCUAACCCUGCCGUCGUGUAUUCAUGUCUGCCUUUGUUAUUAUUUGUCAUGUCUUGUUGGUUUGUGUCGGUGUCCCAGUCUGUCAUGUCAGUCGUGUCCCGUGUUUGA